UACAGAGGUCCCAAGCGUUGUUCGGAUUCAUUGGGCGUAAAGGGUGCGUAGGCGGCGCCGUAAGUCGGAUGUGAAAUCUCGGGGCUCAACCCUGAAACUGCAUUCGAUACUGCGGUGCUAGAGGACUCUAGAGGAAACUGGAAUUCACGGUGUAGCGGUGAAAUGCGCAGAUAUCAGGAGGAACACCGGUGGCGAAGGCGGGUCUCUGGGCCGAUACUGACGCUGAGGAGCGAAAGCGUGGGGAGCGAACAGG
rnacentral:rRNA from 1 species